UACGUAGGGUGCAAGCGUUUGUCCGGAAUUAUUGGGCGUAAAGAGCUCGUAGGCGGUGUGUCGCGUCGGCCGUGAAAACCUGCAGCUUAACUGUGGGCUUGCGGUCGAUACGGGCAUCACUGGAGUGUGGUAGGGGAGACUGGAAUUCCUGGUGUAGCGGUGAAAUGCGCAGAUAUCAGGAGGAACACCGGUGCGGAAGGCGGGUCUCUGGGCCACUACUGACGCUGAGAAGCGAAAGCAUGGGGAGCGAACAGG
rnacentral:rRNA from 1 species